rnacentral:tRNA from 1 species
GCCCCCAUAGCUCAAUUGGUAGAGCAGCGGACUCUUAAUCCGUUGGUUUCAGGUUCGAGUCCUGAUGGGGGUACCA